rnacentral:tRNA from 1 species
GAGGAGAUGGCUCAGUGGUUAAGAGCACUGACUGCUCUUCCAGAGGUCCUGAGUUCAAAUCUCAGCAACCACA